rnacentral:pre_miRNA from 1 species
UAUUAAAAAUUCAUUCAUUUCACUGUUAAAAAUUGUCUUGAUCGACAAAAUAACCAAACAAUUACACGUGAUGUAUCAUGUGCACUUUAUGCGGACAUAUAGGGACCGAUUUUAGCUGUAAAAUGAAUAAAAUUUUUAAUA